CCUAGGAAUCUGCCUGGUAGUGGGGGAUAACGCUCGGAAACGGACGCUAAUACCGCAUACGUCCUACGGGAGAAAGCAGGGGACCUUCGGGCCUUGCGCUAUCAGAUGAGCCUAGGUCGGAUUAGCUAGUUGGUGAGGUAAUGGCUCACCAAGGCGACGAUCCGUAACUGGUCUGAGAGGAUGAUCAGUCACACUGGAACUGAGACACGGUCCAGACUCCUACGGGAGGCAGCAGUGGGGAAUAUUGGACAAUGGGCGAAAGCCUGAUCCAGCCAUGCCGCGUGUGUGAAGAAGGUCUUCGGAUUGUAAAGCACUUUAAGUUGGGAGGAAGGGCAUUAACCUAAUACGUUAGUGUUUUGACGUUACCGACAGAAUAAGCACCGGCUAACUCUGUGCCAGCAGCCGCGGUAAUACAGAGGGUGCAAGCGUUAAUCGGAAUUACUGGGCGUAAAGCGCGCGUAGGUGGUUCGUUAAGUUGGAUGUGAAAUCCCCGGGCUCAACCUGGGAACUGCAUUCAAAACUGUCGAGCUAGAGUAUGGUAGAGGGUGGUGGAAUUUCCUGUGUAGCGGUGAAAUGCGUAGAUAUAGGAAGGAACACCAGUGGCGAAGGCGACCACCUGGACUGAUACUGACACUGAGGUGCGAAAGCGUGGGGAGCAAACAGGAUUAGAUA
rnacentral:rRNA from 1 species